UACGAAGGGGGCUAGCGUUGCUCGGAAUCACUGGGCGUAAAGCGCACGUAGGCGGAUUGUUAAGUCGGGGGUGAAAUCCUGGAGCUCAACUCCAGAACUGCCUUUGAUACUGGCGAUCUUGAGUCCGGGAGAGGUGAGUGGAACUGCGAGUGUAGAGGUGAAAUUCGUAGAUAUUCGCAAGAACACCAGUGGCGAAGGCGGCUCACUGGCCCGGUACUGACGCUGAGGUGCGAAAGCGUGGGGAGCAAACAGG
rnacentral:rRNA from 1 species